AUAGAGUGUACUUUUACAAACCUAGACGGCAUAGUCAACUACACACCUAGGCUAUAUGGUACAGCCUAUUUCUCCUAGGUGAAAGACCUGCACAGCCUGUUACUGAACUGAAUACAGUAGGCAACUGUAACACAACUGGCACCAGAUUUGGACACCACCACAUGUGAUGCUGGGCAGAUUGGCCAACAGGAGCCAAGUGAAGUCAGAUACCCAAGAUAAAGACGGAGUCUCACUUGGUCACCCCGACUGGAUGGCACUAUCUCUGCUCACUGCAACCUCUGCCUUCUGGACUUAAGCAAUUUUCCCACAUUGGCCUCUCGAGUAGCUGGGAUUACAGAUGCCCACCACCACACCUGGGUAA
ensembl:lncRNA